CUGCUCAGAUUGAACGCUGGCGGCAGGCCUAACACAUGCAAGUCGAGCGGUAGCACAGAGAGCUUGCUCUCGGGUGACGAGCGGCGGACGGGUGAGUAAUGUCUGGGAAACUGCCUGAUGGAGGGGGAUAACUACUGGAAACGGUAGCUAAUACCGCAUAACGUCGCAAGACCAAAGUGGGGGACCUUCGGGCCUCAUGCCAUCAGAUGUGCCCAGAUGGGAUUAGCUAGUAGGUGGGGUAACGGCUCACCUAGGCGACGAUCCCUAGCUGGUCUGAGAGGAUGACCAGCCACACUGGAACUGAGACACGGUCCAGACUCCUACGGGAGGCAGCAGUGGGGAAUAUUGCACAAUGGGCGCAAGCCUGAUGCAGCCAUGCCGCGUGUGUGAAGAAGGCCUUCGGGUUGUAAAGCACUUUCAGCGGGGAGGAAGGCGAUAAGGUUAAUAACCUUGUCGAUUGACGUUACCCGCAGAAGAAGCACCGGCUAACUCCGUGCCAGCAGCCGCGGUAAUACGGAGGGUGCAAGCGUUAAUCGGAAUUACUGGGCGUAAAGCGCACGCAGGCGGUCUGUCAAGUCGGAUGUGAAAUCCCCGGGCUCAACCUGGGAACUGCAUUCGAAACUGGCAGGCUAGAGUCUUGUAGAGGGGGGUAGAAUUCCAGGUGUAGCGGUGAAAUGCGUAGAGAUCUGGAGGAAUACCGGUGGCGAAGGCGGCCCCCUGGACAAAGACUGACGCUCAGGUGCGAAAGCGUGGGGAGCAAACAGGAUUAGAUACCCUGGUAGUCCACGCCGUAAACGAUGUCGAUUUGGAGGUUGUGCCCUUGAGGCGUGGCUUCCGGAGCCUAACGGUUAAAUCGACCGCCUGGGGAGUACGGCCGCAAGGUUAAAACUCAAGA
rnacentral:rRNA from 1 species